UUUGUGCCUUUUCAUUUAAGGGGAUGUUUAGUAACUGUAAUGAAGACCAUCAUAUCCACAGGCAUGUUGUUUAGCUUCAUGGCAUUGUAAAUUUCUGGUUUUCUUCCUGUUAUUGCUGCAGUCUCAGCUCCAGCUG